AAUGAACGUUGGCGGCAUGGAUUAGGCAUGCAAGUCGAGCGAGAAGACUUGGUUUGACGCUUCGGUUGAUUACUAAGUUGGACAGCGGCGCAAGGGAGAGUAACGCGUAGUUAUCUACCCUAGGGUCCGGAAUAGCCUCGGGAAACUGAGGGUAAUACCGGAUAAUAUCUUUGGAUCAAAGGUGUGAUUCCGCCCUGGGAGGAGACUGCGUACUACUAGUUUGUUGGUGGGGUAAUGGCCUACCAAGGCUUCGAUGGUUAGCGGGCGUGAGAGCGUGGCCCGUCUCACUGGGACUGAAACACUGCCCAGACACCUACGGGUGGCUGCAGUCGAGAAUCUUCGGCAAUGGGCGAAAGCCUGACCGAGCGAUGCCGCGUGCGGGAUGAAGGCCCUCGGGUUGUAAACCGCUGUCAGUUGGGAGGAAGGGCUCGUGAAGAGCGAGUCUUGACCUAUCUUCAGAGGAAGUCCGGGCUAAGUUCGUG
rnacentral:rRNA from 1 species